rnacentral:lncRNA from 1 species
UAUUGUUUUUAUUUUAUUAUAAUAAUGACUAUUACGAUGAUUAUAAACGUGAUAAAUAUAGUUGUUAUACAAAUAGUCGUCAUAAUAACAACAUUUAUAGAUGCUCUGUAGAUGUACCUGUAUCUAUCGAUGUAAUGAUUACACAUCUUACGAAUAAUAUAAAUUAUUAUUUUAAUUAUAAAGAAUAUAACAAAAAAAUUCACAAAAUUAAAGAUAAUGACAUACUUAUACAACAUAUAGUUUCUUGUGAAGAUUUAAAUAUUACUGAAAAUAAUAAUUUUUUUUUUUUUUUUAUUUUUAAAAUUUGUAAACCAAGAAUAUACUAUCGCACCCAAUAUAUAAAGCAACGCUUAAAUAGCAAUGUACAAAAUGAAAAAACCAACCAACAUCGUCGUUCAUAUAUGUUUAUGCAAUGUACAAAUAAAAAUUCUUAUGAAUCAUUUCAGACAGGUAAUCACACCGGCGGUGGCACUAAUGGUUUUACUGAUGGUCUCACUAAUGGUCGUACUACAACACAUAAUACCCCCCACGACGUCAUACAUAACAAUCACAUGUUCAAACAAGGACAUAAAGAAAGUAAUAAAAAGAAUGAAUUAAACGAACUACACAAAACAAGUCACCAUAGCGAACAAAAUAACGAGAAGGAAAAAAAAGAAAAUCCAACUUUUGAAGUUUCAAAAAAUAAAAAUUCAAUUUUAAACACUUUAAAAAAAUUGUUACAAACACAUUUAAAACAAAAUGGUCAGACUAUUCGUUUGUUUUCUUUAAUUAAUAAUAAAUUAAUUUUUUUUUUUAAAAAAAUAAAAAAGUAUUAUUCGUCUGAGUAUAUUACAGCACAUGGCUUCGAUGUAUUUUUAAUUGAGGAAAAAGAAAAAUAUAUAUGCACUGUAAACUUAUUUUCAAGCCAUAAUUACGAUAUGUAUAUUUUAAAUGACCAGUUAAAUUAUGAAAGGUGUUACAAUAUAUGUAAAAGAUUAUUACUAAGAGUGAAUUUUCAGUUGUUAACUGCCGGUGAUAAAUAAAAAAAAAAAAAAAAAACGGCAAGUAAGAUUAACAUAAGGA